GACAAUAGAACGUGAUCAAUGCACUAUUUAUAAGACGGAGCAAAGUGGCACAGUUUGACUUUGUGCUCAUCCAGACACAGAAACGCUGAGAGGAGUAAAAGUGAUACUUCGAUUUUUAAGGGAUACUUGAUCCGGAUAAGUUGUAAUAAGGUUACAGCGUUCAGUGCACAAAGUUGCCAUGUUUACUGCGCCUUCUCGCCAACAGUUUGGUGGAACAACAAAAAAAAGAGACACAUGCACAAAUGUGUGGACUUGAAAGCACAGCGUGUCCCCCAUCAAAAAUCAAAGCAAAGUAAAAUGGCGAGGAUUGGGCAACAGUGGGGGAAAUUUAGAGAUCCUGCAGCAGCGGAGAGUCUGGACGUCAUCCCACACAUGCACAAUAAAAGCACACACCUCACAUAGGAUAAACACCACGAUAUCAUAACAACGAAGAACAUAAGAAAUCACUGCAAUUUCCCCGCGCGGCACAGGACGUGAGCACGCGGAACAAGCCCAGAAAUCAGCUUCAUGUGAGCUUUAGACGCGCGUGUCAGCGGCUACCUGCAUGGCUGUGCGCGACACCGCUUUUCUUUACAUGCUCUCUCUCUCUCACACGAUAAAGAGUUUUUUUUUUUUUGUUCCUCCAACGGCUGUUGUCUGGCUACAAUGUGACAGGAGAUGCGGCGCGAGACGCGCGGUGAAACGCCGCCGCCGUGCGACGCGAGGGCACGCGGUGCAACGGGGAUUAGAGCGCGCGGUACUCACCGGUCCGCCGCCGCAGUGCAUCGGACUCCCGGCAGCUGAAACCAGACAGUUUUUCCGCUAUUGUUUGGGUCUGCGGGGAGGUGGAAGCAGCCAUUUUGCCCCCAUAUGCACCGCUACGCUAAGGCGUGACCAAUCGAGUGGAGGCGGAGGUUUGGAUAAAUGCACUGAGUGCCACAUCUACCACCAGCAUCAAUGCCGUCUCGUGAUGACAUGCACACAUGAAUAUGCAGGAAACAGUCAAAGUUGGCCACGUUGACCUAGUUUAAGCUCCAGCACCAACAAGGUCACCAGCGUUGAGGGGAUGCUAAAGGCACGGCAUCAGAAAUGGCAGCACUCAGCAAACUCUCACUUGUCUCCUCCUCGAGCUUUACCUGAGU